UUGAAGAAUUUGAAGACUUCAACUUGCAGACUUAAAGAAUUUAAAGACUUCAGCUUGUAUACUUGGAGGAUUUGAAAACUUCAAUC
rnacentral:pre_miRNA from 1 species